GACGAACGCUGGCGGCGUGCUUAACACAUGCAAGUCGAACGGAAAGGCCCUGCUCUUGUGGGGUGCUCGAGUGGCGAACGGGUGAGUAACACGUGAGUAACCUGCCCUUGACUUUGGGGUAACUUCAGGAAACUGGGGCUAAUACCGGAUAGGAGCUCCUGCUGCAUGGUGGGGGUUGGAAAGUUUCGGCGGUUGGGGAUGGACUCGCGGCUUAUCAGCUUGUUGGUGGGGUAGUGGCUUACCAAGGCUUUGACGGGUAGCCGGCCUGAGAGGGUGACCGGCCACAUUGGGACUGCGGUACGGACCAGACUCCUACGGGAGGCAGCGGUGGAGAAUCUUGCACAAUGGGCGGGAGCCUGAUGCAGCGACGCCGCGUGCGGGAUGCCGGCCUUCGGGUUGUGAACCGCUUUCGCCUGAGACGAAGCGUGAGUGACGGUAAUGGGUAAAGAAGCACCGGCUAACUACGUG
rnacentral:rRNA from 1 species